GAUGAAUGCUGGCGGCGCGCCUAACACAUGCAAGUCGAGCGGAAAGGCCCUUCGGGGUACUCGAGCGGCGGACGGCUGAGUAACGCGUGGGAACAUGCCCCAAAGUGAGGAAUAACUGCCCGAAAGGGUAGCUAAUACCGCAUAUGAUCUUCGGAUUAAAGGAUUUAUCCGCUUUGGGAGUGGCCCGCGUACGAUUAGGUAGUUGGUGAGGUAAAGGCUCACCAAGCCGACGAUCGUUAACUGGUCUGAGAGGAUGAUCAGUCAGACUGGAACUGAGACACGGUCCAGACUCCUACGGGAGGCAGCAGUGAGGAAUCUUCCACAAUGGGCGAAAGCCUGAUGGAGCGACGCCGCGUGCAGGAUGAAGGCCUUCGGGUCGUAAACUGCUUUUAUAAGUGAAGAAUAUGUCGGUAACUUAUGAAUAAGCACCGGCUAACUACGUGCCAGCAGCCGCGGUA
rnacentral:rRNA from 1 species